rnacentral:rRNA from 1 species
UACGUAGGGGGCAAGCGUUGUCCGGAUUUAUUGGGCGUAAAGAGCGUGUAGGCGGCUUUGCAAGUCCGUUGUGAAAACUCGAGGCUCAACCUCGAGACGCCGGUGGAAACUGCAAAGCUAGAGUCCGGAAGAGGAGAGUGGAAUUCCUGGUGUAGCGGUGAAAUGCGCAGAUAUCAGGAGGAACACCAAUUGCGAAGGCAGCACUCUGGGACGUGACUGACGCUGAGACGCGAAAGCGUGGGGAGCAAACAGG